UACGUAGGGUGCAAGCGUUAAUCGGAAUUACUGGGCGUAAAGCGUGCGCAGGCGGUUUUGUAAGACAGGCGUGAAAUCCCCGGGCUCAACCUGGGAAUGGCGCUUGUGACUGCAAGGCUGGAGUGCGGCAGAGGGGGAUGGAAUUCCGCGUGUAGCAGUGAAAUGCGUAGAUAUGCGGAGGAACACCGAUGGCGAAGGCAAUCCCCUGGGCCUGCACUGACGCUCAUGCACGAAAGCGUGGGGAGCAAACAGGAUUAGAUACCCUGGUAGUCCACGCCCUAAACGAUGUCAACUGGUUGUUGGGUCUCUUCUGACUCAGUAACGAAGCUAACGCGUGAAGUUGACCGCCUGGGGAGUACGGCCGCAAGGUUGAA
rnacentral:rRNA from 1 species